rnacentral:rRNA from 1 species
UACGGGGGGGUGCGAGCGUUGUCCGGAAUCACUGGGCGUAAAGGGCGCGUAGGUGGCGUGAUAAGGGUGUGGUGAAAGCCCGGGGCUCAACCCCGGGUCUGCCAUGCCGACUGUCAGGCUGGAGUACUGUAGGGGCAGGCGGAAUUCCGGGUGUAGCGGUGGAAUGCGUAGAGAUCCGGAGGAAGACCGGUGGCGAAGGCGGCCCCCUGGGCUAACACUGACGCUCAGGCACGAAAGCGUGGGGAGCAAACAGGG